AACAAAAAGGUGAGUGGGCAAAAAUAAAAGUUUAUAAAAACCAUUUAUUUUCUGAACAUACUAACCCUUCGCUGUAAAACAUGUAUAGUUUCUAGGAAAUCAUACUACGUAUAGGUAUGAAAUCAAAUGCAAAUAAAUAGUAAAUCAAGAAGUAUGCCGCAUCACAAUAUCUCAACAGUAAUAUAAAUAAAAUCAGGUGUUCAAUUAAUCUAUACUAGCACAUAAGUCGGAGUCGCCCAAUGCGACCUGUACUACUGGCCCUGAUGCUCAUCAAUCUAUGCUAGCACUCAAGUUAGAGUCGCCUAAUGCGACAUGUACGACAAGACUGGGUGUAAUAAUAUACGCUUUAGUGCUACAAUUGCGUGAAAAUUUGAGCUAAUCGCCGUUACCUACGAGUCGGAGUUGCCUAAUGCAACCUGUACGACAAGAUUGGCACCUACUUGAAUCCAAGGCGAGCGUGUGGUGCGGAGGUAAACAUACACGUGAAAGACUGGCCUUGGCCCAAGGCGAGCACGAACACCGGGGUGCAACAAUGAUGAGCAGACUAUAUGAAUAUAAGCAUGCCAUAACAAUUCAAUAAUUCUAGUCAACAUAAUAACCUUACCUGUCAAUAAACUUACAUGUGCAUCCAGUAAGAUUAUUUAGCAUUUCACCAUAGUACAACAUUUCUAAUAACAUUAAUUAACCAUGGCAUGAUACACAUAAAUCAAUUCAAAAGCAAUUGUGGAAACUAUAAAGUUUAUAUAUAUACGAAAACAAAUGCCCACUCACCGAUAUGUCAAUGGAUCGUAGCCUUCUAGCCUCGCUUGUCCUCAUAAAUCCUCAGGAUAAGUCUUAUUUAUAUCGAAAUAAUUAAUAAUAAUUAAUUAAUUAAUUAACACAUACACUAAAAGUUAGGAAAAACAUCUCAUAGUUUGCUCAAACGGAAGGUUUAAAUAUACAAAAACACUCUACUCGACGUCACGGACCUGUACAUGUCAAGCACUCGUCGGCCGGUGGCCGGACACGUCCUUAUGCGCCCACGGUCACAUGCGCCCUCACACGCAGGUCAGUGGCUAAUAGACGUCAGGAAUAUUCCGUCAGACUUGACGGAAUAUUCCAUUAAACAAUUAACAGAGCUUAAUGAUGUUAGCUGACGCCGUUAGAAUAUUCCGUCAACUUUGACUGAAUAUUCGUCUUCUUUUCCGGUUGCCGCCAUUUGGUUUCAUCGAGAACUAGAAAACUUCGCCCGUUUUUGGGGAAAAAUUCAAAUCUUCAUAACUUGCUCAUUUCUCAACCAUUUUUUAUGAAAUUUAUAUGAAAAUGAAGCUCUUGAGGAGUAGAACAAGUUUAUACCUUUUGGAAGUCCAAAAAUGGACAGGAAUAGGCCUGAAAAUGCCUCGCAAGUCUCGGCGUAAAACUCAACUCCUUGAAACCGUGUGCUUCGACGUGGUUUCCAAACCAAACUUAGCCUAGGGACUCCCGGAAGUUGUGUGGAUGCUUUUACAACCUUCAAAACUUCGUAACUCGACCGGGAUCACAUUGGAGUAAACUCGUCCAAUUCGGAGCUUUCGAGUUAACGAGACAAAGCUCAACCAUUUGAGAAUCAGUUUGUACAUUUGGGUUCGUGAGGAUGAGAAGAUCACGAUGAUGGUGGUUUUGUGCUCAAUCUGUGAGGUUUUGAUGAUGAUCCUUGGUGUUGCAGAGAAGAGAAAGUCUUGGGAUAGAGAGAGAAUGAGAAGAUGAAAAAAAGUGAGAUGAUGUUUUUUGAUUGGUGGAAAAAGGAAGAUAGAGGGUGAGUCUAAUUGGUAGAGAGAUGUGAGGGAUGGAUUUGAUUGGUGGGUGAACAACAAGUCACAGUUCCAAUUUUAAAGAAGAAAAAGGAUAUGAUUUUGUACAAAUGAAGUCAGACAAAAUCUAAUGUAAUCUAAUGUACCCUAUCGAAAACAGUGUUUCCAACAUUGGAAUAUUAGUACACACGUGUACAAAUUUACUCGUUGUUAACACACUUUAACGUAACGUAACUUUUUUUUACAAGUCCGAUUUGAGCCUAACUCGCGCCCAAGCGUUCUUAACCACAAGUACUAUUUAAUUACGAUAACGAGAAAAAUAAUUUAAAGCCGAAAAACCACAUCCAUGUCACUUUGCCAAUAAGGGCACAAAUGUCAAUUCACAUACACGGGGAGAAAAUUAUAUAGAAGAUUAGGGACGGGUCAUCACACUAUUUCUUUACAUUACAAGAGGGUAGUGGAAACUGAAACGAAUACAGUUGAAUCGUAUCAUGCCAUGUCAUAUUGAGUUUGUAUUAGACAUGAUAUGAUUAGUUAAUCAUUUCAGAUGAUUCGCUAAAAACUUAGUUUCUCUCAUUUAAACUAAACUUAUUACUCAUUUAUGUAGUAUGAUAAUUCAUUUCUUACUCAACCAUAACAAAAAAUAGAAUGGUGUACCCCUACUUCUGAACCUCGCUACCCAGUCACUGAGAAAAAGAGAGGUAGUUUACUACCAAUACUUAAUUCAUUAUGUGUCAAUUAACAAUUGACCAUAUGUCACAUAAGUAGGGUGAUUAAGGCUUUAUAGUGAAGAUAAACGUGAUAUUUUUUUUAAAAUUCUCUUAUGAUCGUAGGAAGACUAACAUGUUGAGGGAGGCAGAUUGUCUACCCU
rnacentral:lncRNA from 1 species